GAGUUAGCCGAUGCUUAUUCUUCAGGUACACGUCAUUUAUUCCUCCCUGAAAAAAGAGGUUUACAACCCAUAGGCAGUCUUCCCUCACGCUGUAUUGCUCCGUCAGGCUUUCGCCCAUUGCGGAAAAUUCCCC
rnacentral:rRNA from 1 species